rnacentral:lncRNA from 1 species
GAGUACUCAACCAAGUCAUACAACAAAUAAUCAUAUUUCUAUAUGGCAGUAAAUCCAUGGAAGCAGAUAACACAAUAACUGGGUGCUGCGAGGCUUCGCAUAGAGGAGGUCUUAUACCAUACUGUCCUCCAGCUCCACCAUGCACAUCUCUACAUCUUAUAAUUGAUGCUCGCUUCCCACAUAAUUGUAAACUUGUCUUAUAUUCAAUUCUUUAUCAACAACAACAUUCAAGGUCCAUUCAUAUGAAGCUUACUGCUAGUCUACUAUAAGAGCGUACUCAAUAGAUCCUCGUCCCCUGCCGUGUGCUAGCCUACCUUUGAGACACAGAGCACGGGCUCACCUGUCAGUGACUCAAAGGCAGAGUAUGGCAGGGGUUUCUAAGUCAGAGAAUCCACCUCCCAUAGGCGUCGAGGCCACCAAGCCCAACAUUGACUGCUGCUCCUCCCUUUCUUCCUCUACUAUUUUUUCUGAAUGGCCUUUCUUCUUGUAUUCAUUCUCUCAACUCCAUGCUUUCCUGAUCAUCCUCUUCCUCUUAUCACCAGCUAGGCAUUUAACUAAACAAGGUAAAUGGGGAAAGGUACAUUCUACAAACCAUGUCAAUGAGAUCUACAUAGAUCGAUUGAUCAAAUAGUGAAAAUCUGAGAAAUCUAAAUCUGAACUAACCAAAAAAAAAAAGCAAGCCAUCUUCGGGCUAUCUAACUGUACCCACAUGUCUGCUCCAAAGAUUUGGUUAUGGAAAGAAAAGGGAGUACAGUGGAGUUGGGUUGAUGCCUAAUGAACGACCAAUCGCUCAAGCUACUCCAGCUUCCCGCCUCCCAGCUUGAAUUGAUGCUGCCACUAUGGCCAGCAAGCAUCCGCCACCAAGAUUCAUGCAUUUCAGCUUCACGUACACCAACAUGCCCUGCCGCUCAUCCUGCCGUCUACAUGCCCUUGCAGGUUCUGUGCACCGGGAGAAGAAAAAUCAAUGAAAAAUAGAAAGACCAGAUGUUAUAAGCAAUGACAGAUGACACACAUCAAGGGACUUAUUUGUGAAGGACCGAGCUAACAACAUUCAUAUAUUGUUUUAAAGCUUGGGGCUUCCCGUGAAUGGCAACACUCAUUUAGUUCUGCACCAGUCAAUGUAAAAAAUUCAGGAGCAGCAUCAAAGAUCAACCAAAAUGUUACAAAAUAAUUUAAAAACACAGGGCCCAAAUCUGGAAUGGUCAUUGUGAAUUGGCUCAGAGAAUGUGAACCAUAUAACCAGGAAAGUGCUAUACAUAAUAGUAUAAACGAAGAUUAUCACAAAAUUCAUCCCUGUCAACCUCUACCGACACAGUUGUGCCC